UGGACAUUCAGAUGGUAAUCUCAGUAAUUGUAACGCCAAACUGUGACAAAAUUACUCAAUUCAUCAGGAGCUGGAUAUUCACAUUGUGUGGAUCUGCACUGGAACCCUUCUGUUUGCGGGACAAAUAUAUAUAAGUGACAUGAAUUAAAAUCUAAUUUGAUUUGAUGAAGAUGUGUUGAAAAUGUUUGCAGUUACUGAUCUGCUGAACGAAAAUGACCACUUUUAAACUGAUGAUUGGACUAGAAACCUUUGAGAAAACUUGAAAAUA